AAGUCAAGGGGAAAGUUUUCUUCGGAGAAUGAGUAUACUGGCGCACGGGUGAGUAAUAUGUAAACAAUCUACCUAUGGAUCUGGGAUAACGUCGAGAAAUCGGCGCUAAUACCGGGUAAUGCAGCGGAACCGCAUGGUUAUGUUGUUAAAGUCAUUUAUGGCGUCUAUAGAUGAGUUUGCAUCUGAUUAGCUUGUUGGCGAGGUAAAGGCUCACCAAGGCAACGAUCAGUAGCUGGUCUGAGAGGAUGAUCAGCCACACUGGAACUGAGACACGGUCCAGACUCCUACGGGAGGCAGCAGUGAGGAAUAUUGGACAAUGGGCGCAAGCCUGAUCCAGCCAUGCCGCGUGAGUGAUGAAGGCCCUAGGGUUGUAAAGCUCUUUCACCGGUGAAGAUAAUGACGGUAGCCGGAGAAGAAGCCCCGGCUAACUCCGUGCCAGCAGCCGCGGUAAUACGGAGGGGGCUAGCGUUGUUCGGAAUUACUGGGCGUAAAGCGCACGUAGGCGGGUAUCCAAGUUGGGGGUGAAAUCCCGGGGCUCAACCCCGGAACUGCCUCCAAAACUGGGUACCUAGGGUCCGAGAGAGGUGAGUGGAAUUCCCAGUGUAGAGGUGAAAUUC
rnacentral:rRNA from 1 species